AGAACGAACGCUGGCGGCAGGCUUAACACAUGCAAGUCGAACGCUCGUAGCAAUACGGGAGUGGCAGACGGGUGAGUAACGCGUGGGAACAUACCCUCCGGUUCGGAAUAGCUCAGGGAAACUUGGAUUAAUACCGGAUACGGCUGAGAGGCGAAAGAUUUAUCGCCGGAGGAUUGGCCCGCGUUCGAUUAGCUUGUUGGUGAGGUAAUGGCUCACCAAGGCGAUGAUCGAUAGCUGGUCUGAGAGGAUGAUCAGCCACAUUGGGACUGAGACACGGCCCAAACUCCUACGGGAGGCAGCAGUGGGGAAUAUUGGACAAUGGGCGCAAGCCUGAUCCAGCCAUGCCGCGUGAGUGAUGACGGCUUAGGGUUGUAAAGCUCUUUCGCUCGGGACGAUAAUGACGGUACCGAGAUAAGAAGCCCCGGCUAACUUCGUGCCAGCAGCCGC
rnacentral:rRNA from 1 species